GUGAAAAUGAGCCACACCGAGACAAACCGUUUAAAUGAACAGAGAAAACCUCCCCCUAAAAAUCAACAGUGCUGAAGGAAACAAACUGAAAUACCCAGAAGCCUUGGAAAUACUCAAAACUUGAUACAGAACAGGCAUCUUUUUGUUCACUCUACUUUUCAGGAGACCAAAAAAAUCAUUGCUUGCAGAAAGGAUUUCUCCAACACCUUUGAACUUUUGCCAUCGACAUGCAUCACGUCAGGAGAGUUGCAAAGCCUUGCUUUGACUGCCUGGCUGAUCACGCUGCCUUUCGUUGGUAUCAUCCCCUCAAGAACAUCUCAAAAGCUGAUGCUGAAAGUUAAAUGCUGGGAACAAAGUUGCUUUAUUUGUCUUCUUACUUGUCUUCACUUUGCAAGAAAAGGUUCAAGAGCCUUUUGGUGAUUGGAGGCUGUGGAUGGUUGUAUGCAAGGUGGAGUGAAUGGAUGGACG
rnacentral:lncRNA from 1 species